rnacentral:rRNA from 1 species
UGCUGCAUGGUUGUCGUCAGCUCGUGUCGUGAGAUGUUGGGUUAAGUCCCGCAACGAGCGCAACCCUUGUCUUUAAUUGCCAUCAGUUUAGUUGGGCACGUUUAAAGAGACUGCCGGUGUUAAGCCGGAGAAGUGGGGAUGACGUCAAGUCCUCAUGGCCUUUAUGCCCAGGGCUACACACGUGCUACAAUGGGCGGUACAAAGAGAAGCAACCUCGCGAGGGUGAGCAAAUCUCAAAAAGCCGUUCUCAGUUCGGAUUGAAGUCUGCAACUCGACUUCAUGAAGUCGGGAUCGCUAGUAAUCGCGGAUCAGCAUGCCGCGGUGAAUACGUUCCCGGGCCUU